GCACAAGCGGUGGAGCAUGUGGUUUAAUUCGACGCAACGCGCAGAACCUUACCAGCCCUUGACAUGUCUGGGACCGGUCGCAGAGACGCGACCUUCUCUUCGGAGCCCGGAACACAGGUGCUGCAUGGCUGUCGCCAGCUCGUGUCGUGAGAUGUUGGGUUAAGUCCCGCAACGAGCGCAACCCCCGUCCUUAGUUGCUACCAUUUAGUUGAGCACUCUAAGGAGACUGCCGGUGAUAAGCCGCGAGGAAGGUGGGGAUGACGUCAAGUCCUCAUGGCCCUUACGGGCUGGGCUACACACGUGCUACAAUGGCGGUGACAAUGGGACGCUAAGGGGCAACCCUUCGCAAAUCUCAAAAAGCCGUCUCAGUUCGGAUUGGGCUCUGCAACUCGAGCCCAUGAAGUUGGAAUCGCUAGUAAUCGUGGAUCAGCACGCCACGGUGAAUACGUUCCCGGGC
rnacentral:rRNA from 1 species